AUUGAACGCUGGCGGCAGGCUUAACACAUGCAAGUCGAGCGGGGUGAUGGUGCUUGCACUAUCACUUAGCGGCGGACGGGUGAGUAAUGCUUAGGAAUCUGCCUAUUAGUGGGGGACAACAUCUCGAAAGGGAUGCUAAUACCGCAUACGUCCUACGGGAGAAAGCAGGGGAUCACUUGUGACCUUGCGCUAAUAGAUGAGCCUAAGUCGGAUUAGCUAGUUGGUGGGGUAAAGGCCUACCAAGGCGACGAUCUGUAGCGGGUCUGAGAGGAUGAUCCGCCACACGGGGACUGAGACACAGCCCAGACUCCUACGGGGGGCAGCAGUGGGGAAUAUUGGACAAUGGGGGGAACCCUGAUCCAGCCAUGCCGCGUGUGUGAAGAAUGCCUUAUGGUUGUAAAGCACUUUAAGCGAGGAGGAGGCUCUUUUGGUUAAUACCCAAAAUGAGUGGACGUUACUCGCAGAAUAAGCACCGGCUAACUCUGUGCCAGCCGCCGCAGUAA
rnacentral:rRNA from 1 species